GCCCAACCAUGUCCUCUAUCAGCCCAGCCCGUCUAAAAAGCAACCCAACCGUAGUCUCUCUCUCUCGCCCGAAUCCCCCUCCUUCUGUCUCCUGCAGCCGCCGCUAGCCACGCGCAUCGCUCCGAUCAGCCGGAGGUCGCCGUCGCUGGGACCGCCGGUAUCCACUCCCCGCCGCUAGAUCCGAUCCACUCCCCGCCGCCGGUAGCCGGGGCGGCGGCAGGGAUGGCGUGUUCGCUGUUGCUGACCAUCCUCCCCGAGGAGCUUGUGGUGGAGAUCCUAAUCCGCCUCACCGACCUCGCCGACCUCGCCCGCGCCGCCUCCGCCUGCAAGCCCCUCCGCCGCCUCAUCACCUCCCGCGCCUUCCUCGCCCGCCUCCACGCGCUCCACGCCAAGCCCCUCCUCGGACUCCUCCUGCUGGAGAGAGACCGCUGCGGCUUCCUCCCCGCCGCUACCGCCGUCGCCGCCGCCGUCGCCCGCGCGUCCGACUUCGCCUUCUCCUUCCUCCCCGACCACGCCGCCGGGUGGCGCCUCCGCGACGUCCGCCACGGCCUCGCCCUCCUAUCAUCAUCAUCAUCGUCAUCAUACCUCUCCCCCCUCGGCGACCGCGGCUUCUUCCCCGACGUCGUCGUCUGCGACCCCAUGCGCCGGCGACACGUGCGGGUUCCCCCUAUCCCCGACGACCUCACGGCCGGCGUCCGGCGGAUCGCCGUCGAGCACUUCGACUACCUGCUCGCUCCCGCCGGCCGAGACGGCUCGUCGUUCCGGGUGGUGUGCAGGCCCAAGCUGCCGAAGCAGUGCGACGUCACCGUCUUCGUCUUCUCCUCAGGCGCCGCGUUCUGGCGAGCCGCCGUGCUGGACGCCUGCGCCGCCACCGAGAAGUUGUUCCUCCCCCAAUCCGUGCACGGCUACGUCUACUGGCGGACGCAUUCCUCCGGCACAUUGCUCAUGCUGGACACUCGCGACAUGGAUUUCUUCUUUGUUAACAUUCAGACCAACAAGUGUGUCAUUGGGGAGGCAGAGGAAGUAGGCAGGCUUGCGGUGUUCAACACCAUUGUUGAUGUUGGUGUCCACAAGGUGGAGAUCCUCUCCAAGGCAAUUAGGGGCGGUGCCGACGAACCGUGGCGGCACGACAGGACUAUCCCAUUGCUCCCUGGUUACAAAUGGAGGGCUGCAAGAAUGGCUGAGGGGUACUUACUCCUACAUGGGAUUGUAGGUAACAACUCCUGGUCUACUCCUGGUAUUCAGCUACAGCAUUUCACACUGGACCUCAAGACGCUUAAGCUUGAGAGUCUGUGUGACUCGAUAUCCCGAGGAAGGCAUCAUCAUCCUCAAUUCGACUUGUACAGAAGCUUCCCGCCACCAUUAUCGCUUUCAAGCAUAUGACAAUAGUAAGAACUAAUUUCCAUGGUUUCUUUAUUCAUCAGGGAAUCAUAGUUACAAUAUAUAGUUAUAUUUCAUAAUGUAACAGCUUUGGUACUUUUUGAUUGUUAUCAUCUGUGGUCAUGUUUGCACUCAGUCUCCCUUUUGAUUUAAAUGUAGCCAGCGAAUGAGAUAGUUUCAUAUUUCACUGUACCCUCCCUUAUAAAAUAAACCCAAGAGGAGCCCAGUUGUAUAUACAAUCAAGUCAUAUUUUCUCUGUAUGUAUCUUAGAUGCAUGUGUUUUUCUUUGGUCUAGUUCGUGACACAAGCUUACUGGUGGCUUGGACAUUUGUACCAUUCACGGAUGUGGCAUUGACUUGCCAAGGGGGACUGAGCAACUUCGGUUGUCAAGCUGUAUCUGAUGCCUUAAGGAGGAUGCCAUGGAAGAGGAAGACCAGCUGCUAUACUGCCGUUGUUGGUAUCAUAUUUAUGUACUACCGUACUAGCUAGUUCGAUCAGCUGUUCCAUUUGAAUUCCACAGUGGUUUAACUUCUGAAGCCAUGCUACUCUUUUUUUGCCCUUCUGCUGCAUUCUGGAACUAAACAGAGUAGUCGGUCUGCAAAGCAAGGCAUUCAAGCUCCCCAGCCACUGAUGUAGGAUGCACUUCAGUGUAUGCUCGUUGUUGUUAAGUUCAUAGUUAUCCUUAAUCUGAUGUCAUCAGUAUAAACAUGUUUUUCCAUCCUUUGGUUGACAGCAAGCAAUGCCUCUAAAGAUAUCCAUAAAUUGACAGAUAUCUCUCUACCAGAAAGCCUCUAGGGGAUGUAUCAUGUGGCACCUUGUUCAUGUAGUAUGUGUUCCAGAUCAAUUUAACCCAGGGAAGAGGCAUCCUAUUAUAAACCUUACGCAGGCUUUUCAUUAGCAAAGCAUUAUUUUGCAGUCUGAGGUUAAUGACUUGCAAACCACCUCUUUUUUUGGCU